ACAUCAAAUAAAUAGAACGAAGGUGGUGCAAUUUUCCCCACAUUGUUGUAUAACGUGGCGAAUCGGCCGACUCGCGCACUUUUCGUGAUUAGAUCAAAGAGCGAUUAUAAGAGAUAUCGCGCGUGUAUCUUCGUUUCGUGAUAUGAACUAGAGGGCACGGUGAGGUGAAGAAGGAAGCAAGAGCGUUUCAACUGUGAACUGCAGUCGACUGUACCUCCUACUUCGGUACAAAUUAUGUACAAAUCUCCAUCGAGACGAGAUAAUAUUCACUCGCCGGUCGCGUAUAAACAGCAGAGGCAAGAUAAGGGACGAAUCGCUCCACGGUAGCCCGAAGAAUCGAAAUCAUUUCGUAAUUAGCGUCGCAUUUCGCGAUUACUUCCGAUGUCGAACAUCACCGGAGCUUAUGCCCACGAGCGCAAUGAGAAUCUCGAUGAAUAUCUCAAGGCCAUCGGGGUUCCAUACGUCGGAAGGAAAAUGAUGUCUUUCAGUAGUCCACGGUUGGAAAUAUCGAAAAACGAAGACAAAUGGACGAUUCGAAGUAUUUCGGUGGGGCGCACGUUGGAGAUGACGUUUGCUCUUGGCGUUGAAUACGAGGAAUCGAUGCCAUCCGGUGACAAGCUCAAGAACGUUACGACCAUAGAAGGGGAUAGUUUGGUAACAAACUCGGUUGCUCCGAACGGUUCGCUGAUAACACGAAGAUACGAUUUCACCCCAGAAACAGCUGUAUUGACGAUGACACACCAGAAUAGCGGGAAAAUUGCCAAGAGAUACUACAAGCGUGUUGUAACCGUUUAGAGAGAAACGCUAUAUCAGCUCAGGAUGUGGAAUAACAUCCCUCAGAUAUUCCAUCUGUCGUACAUCCUACGAAAACAGAGCAUCAAAUGAUAAAGGAAGCUCAAUCAAAUCCUUCGCUCUCGCAACCUACGACUGAAUAAAUAAUUUUCAAACCGUAACGGAUCGAUCCCAGUAUCAAUCGCAGCUGUCUCUAUAAUUUGGCGUGAUGAAUCACGAUGGAAAUACCACCUGUCGUUAUAUGCAGUCGUAAUAAUAACAUGCAUUCGAGGAGUUGCAUGUUAUAUACGUAUAAAAUUAUUGGAAAAAAAACGAAGAAGAAUUACUACCGCGGGUUUCAAUGUUUGUUUCGAUUAACGAACACAUUUCAAUAGGAAUAAAAAAAGGUACAGACAUCAACCCCAUUGAUCACCUGCCGAACUUGCAGAAUGACCGCACAGUUUCGUUGAAUCAUUCAUUAGAAAACCGGACAAUGAAUGAAUCAAAAAAGUAAAAUUGGGCGUACAGUAUGACGCAAUCUAUAUACUCGAACAGGUGACGUAUACGCGGUCAGGGGGUGUUGCUAAGGAAACUGACCAUUACACUACGUACUGGCAAAGGGGGCGACAUUAACUGUGGAAAAUUAUUGACGAGACAUCGAACUUGGCGGGUUUUUCUAACUGCGUUCAGAAAAUGGUCUAUGGGGCGCGGUCGACGACGCGUGCGAACAACAAAGAUAAAAAAUGAAAUAGAGGAAAAGGGAGAAGAAGUGGGUUACUAUCGGUGAAACGACUAUGAAAAUUUACAAAUGGGUGCCGAUAUCCACUCUUGAUCAG
rnacentral:misc_RNA from 1 species